rnacentral:rRNA from 1 species
GACGAACGCUGUCGGCGUGCCUAACACAUGCAAGUCGAACGGAAAGGCCCUGCUUUUGUGGGGUGCUCGAGUGGCGAACGGGUGAGUAACACGUGAGUAACCUGCCCUUGACUUUGGGAUAACUUCAGGAAACUGGGGCUAAUACCGGAUAGGAGCUCCUGCUGCAUGGUGGGGGUUGGAAAGUUUCGGCGGUUGGGGAUGGACUCGCGGCUUAUCAGCUUGUUGGUGGGGUAGUGGCUUACCAAGGCUUUGACGGGUAGCCGGCCUGAGAGGGUGACCGGCCACAUUGGGACUGAGAUACGGCCCAGACUCCUACGGGAGGCAGCAGUGGGGAAUAUUGCACAAUGGGCGGAAGCCUGAUGCAGCGACGCCGCGUGCGGGAUGACGGCCUUCGGGUUGUAAACCGCUUUCGCCUGUGACGAAGCGUGAGUGACGGUAAUGGGUAAAGAAGCACCGGCUAACUACGUGCCAGCAGCCGCGGUGAUACGUAGGGUGCGAGCGUUGUCCGGAUUUAUUGGGCGUAAAGGGCUCGUAGGUGGUUGAUCGCGUCGGAAGUGUAAUCUUGGGGCUUAACCCUGAGCGUGCUUUCGAUACGGGUUGACUUGAGGAAGGUAGGGGAGAAUGGAAUUCCUGGUGGAGCGGUGGAAUGCGCAGAUAUCAGGAGGAACACCAGUGGCGAAGGCGGUUCUCUGGGCCUUUCCUGACGCUGAGGAGCGAAAGCGUGGGGAGCGAACAGGCUUAGAUACCCUGGUAGUCCACGCUGUAAACGGUGGGUACUAGGUGUGGGGUCCAUUCCACGGGUUCCGUGCCGUAGCUAACGCUUUAAGUACCCCGCCUGGGGAGUACGGCCGCAAGGCUAAAACUCAAAGGAAUUGACGGGGCCCCGCACAAGCGGCGGAGCAUGCGGAUUAAUUCGAUGCAACGCGUAGAACCUUACCUGGGUUUGACAUGGAUCGGGAGUGCUCAGAGAUGGGUGUGCCUCUUUUGGGGUCGGUUCACAGGUGGUGCAUGGCUGUCGUCAGCUCGUGUCGUGAGAUGUUGGGUUAAGUCCCGCAACGAGCGCAACCCUUGUUCACUGUUGCCAGCACGUUAUGGUGGGGACUCAGUGGAGACCGCCGGGGUCAACUCGGAGGAAGGUGGGGAUGACGUCAAGUCAUCAUGCCCCUUAUGUCCAGGGCUUCACGCAUGCUACAAUGGCUGGUACAGAGAGUGGCGAGCCUGUGAGGGUGAGCGAAUCUCGGAAAGCCGGUCUCAGUUCGGAUUGGGGUCUGCAACUCGACCUCAUGAAGUCGGAGUCGCUAGUAAUCGCAGAUCAGCAACGCUGCGGUGAAUACGUUCCCGGGGCU